UCACAAGGAAGGAGAGGAGGGCGUGCCUCCCGCGGACCAAGGGUUGCAGAAGGGUGGCAAAUCCUAAACAAACGUCCUUUGGGACUGACUUUGUGAACCGAGAAUCGACAAGCCACUCACGGCUUGGGCUUGCGAGGCAUCGACCUGUGGCUGCUGGAAGAAUUCCCCGCACUUCAGCCCGUAGGAGACUCGGGUUUCGGCUACUCCUGCCUGCAGCCCCUCUGCGAGGGCAGUCAGUGGAUUCUAGGCUACGCCCCACGCUUCCUCAUUGGCUUCUUCAGACACGUGGUCGAGUGGUUCCCGCCUCGGAGUGGCCUGAGAGGCGGUACGCGAAGCCGCAUGGACAGCCUGGCGCCGGGCCGCUGGAGACGGCGGAGGACAGAGGAGCUGCCAGCGGCAGGGGACGCGAAACGGGCGUGCAGGAGGUCAGAACCAGGUGGAUAUGAGUGCAGCGGCCACAUGCUAACCACCUGUGGCCUGCUGUCCUGGAGCACAGAGGACCAGGAGCCCAGGCCACGAGGCCUGCCUGCAUCUCAACCAGAGUGUACCCAGGAGAGGCUGAGUUCAAUGGUUCUGCAGAACGGAGGAAGGAGUUCAGCCCAGCCUUGCCUGAGGUGUAUCUCGGGGGAGUCUGUAAGUGUGGCCUCACUGAGACCUAAGUGAUAGAGUUCUUAAGCAUCAGAUCUGGAAAGCAGCCACGAAAGUCUGCACCUACAUACAUAAGGAAUGAGAGAUGUAAAUAAAACUAAAGGUUGGUUUGAGCUAGUCUUCAUAUUCUGCUGAGGUUAAAAAAAAGUUCCAGCUUCAUAUCCCGAAGUAGACAUUAUAAAUACUUUUAAAAUUCCUACGAAAAAGCAACAUUCGUGUAGUGUGCGUGUGUGAGGGUACUGAUGACCAGAAAGCAGCCUUGAGGAAAAGACGUUGACUCUCUGCUAGGAUGAAAUACAGACCUCGAAGGUCAUCUUGGAGAAGAGGCGUGAUCUUAUUUAAAUGAUCUCAAUGGCAAUCAGCAUUGGGUUUUCCCUCUUCUGCUUAAACUUUUCCAGUGUGUUUCCAUAAACUUUGCAUAAGCUGUAGAUUUCUGAAGGGAGCAGAGCGUUCACACCAUCAGUUCAAAGUAAAGGGAGGUCAAAGACCGCCAGUCAGUUCUCAGCCUCUGCUGUAGGGCGGAAUAUCAUAAAGUAUAUAUUAGCAUAAUAAUGCCUUUGUUAUUAAUAUUGAACUCACUCUAAGAACAAGUUAAUAUGUUUUUGAUAACCUCUGUAAUUCUUGGGUUUUUUAUUUUAAAUUUGAAAUCUCAAUAUUGCAAUAAAAUAGAACUGUAUUUAAAUUCCACAUAGAAACCAGGAGAGUGAGUUUGCGUCUGAGUCUGAGUAUCAGAGAUUGCCCCCUAAAGAGCUUCAGAGAAGUGAAUUGCUGUUUCUGAUGAGCAAGAGAUUGAGUCCGUAACUUACAAGUGUCUUCAGCUGACUGGCUGCUGGGUUUUACAGUGACAGGCGCUGAUUUUUGCACUAGACAGACCUGGCACCCUGGUAGCUGCCAUUCACGGGAAUCCGAGUAGCUGAAGACAUCAGAGCCGAUGCAGAAGCAAACAUGAGCGCUGCACUUUUUCCAUGGAGGUGUGCUUUGCUACUCUGUUGUCAGUUGGCAGAGCAUCGUGUCGCAUGCGUGCUGUAGUUCUGAUCGAGAUGCAGUAAUUUGAAUUUAGUAUAUUUAGGUAGGUUCCCAUGGCUGCCAAAUAUACCCUAGGAUGCAGAUAGGUCAUACUUUUCUUGAGAAUUGUCCCCCCUCUGUAUUUAAAUCACCUCUCUCGUUGCGAGUGGCUGGUUCUGUUUCUUGCCCCUAACCUCAUAUACAUGGGAUAUAGCUUUCAACUCCUCCUGUCUGUCAGAGGCACAUUUGGAAUUCGUGUGAAUUCCUAACACUCAUAGAGCUUGUGUUCUGGAAUGAAUGGCUUAAAGGAGAAAAAAAUUAGCUCAAACUCCUGAUUGGAUCAUUUUGGCUAAUAUUCUGUUUGAACAACAGUACCUGUUUGCCUAGGGUUUUCUGUUCCUUUCUAAUUCCCCAAGCUCGCCUCCUUUAGUUUCAUAGGAAAUGAAUCUAUGAGCAGAAAACCUACAUUGAUAUGUAAAUAUCAUUUUUUUAUAGUUAAUGCUCAAUAUUCUUUUCAUCUAAAUUUCAGAAUCUGACUUUAAAAAAUCAGUUUCCUUUUAUUUGUAGUUACUCUCAAUAAAAUUUGACUCAGGCUCAGGCAGUUUAAUAUUUACACCCACUGUUUCUAAAAGUCUUAUGUAAAUAAAGACUGAAAUGUGAAUUUGGAAAGUCACACCUCCUGCUAUUUGAACAGACUGCUCUGCCUAUAUCUUCUUUCUCUCAUAAUGCGGCUAGUUGCUCUCCUAAGCUUUUAAAAUAAUAAGACACUUACUAUUCUUAUAUUCUAAAACAUCAAAAGGUUCAGUGUUAAAUAAAAAGCAAAUAGUAUUUUUAGAGAGGUAAGAUCCCAGGGAGCAGUACUUAGGAGUAAAUCACUGGUGGGCAGCAACUGCAAACUUCAGAGGACUUUAUUACACUCAGGCUCAUUCAUAGCCACUUGCCCGCAUGCACAGGAGUGCUUCCCUGCCUGCUCACCAUUCCCAGCCUGACUCAGGAUGGCUCCCCUGUCUCUGUUGGGGACAGAGGCUAUGUCAGUUUAGUUCAGUGGAAUCCCUAACAGCAGUCUCACGUGUCCCUCUCAGCUUGUUUGGUGGCUUUGCCCUGAAGCCGCUGUGUGACCUGAGCCUCUUUCUGUGUUUCUGUAGUGUGCGGAUCCAACUGACUCAUUCCUGCUCUGAAUCCUAGGCAGAGCAGAGCGGUCUCUGUAGGACCCGAGCUCCUUGCUCUUCAGCUGCCUUACAUCUGUUUAUUUGCAUGUGUUUAUAUUUAUGUGUGUUGUGUGCUCUCUCGAGUAUGGACAUAAAUAUGUAUUUGACCAUGUGUGGAAGUCCAAACUUGAUAUUGAGUGCUUUCCAUGGUCACUUUCUGCUUGCUGAGACCACACCUCCCGCUGGAAUGGAAGCUCACUAAAUCUGGCUAGCCCAGCUGGCCGGUUUGCCCCCGGGAUCCCCCAUCUCUGCCUCCCAUGUACUGGGAUCACCAGUGGCCUUCCAGGACUGCUUGUCUUUUUCAUGGAUUCCUGGGAUUAGAAUUGAAGUCCUCGUGCAUGCACACAUGCAAGUUUUUUUUUUCUGUCAAGCUAUCUUUUAGUCCUCUGUCAUGGUUUUUGGUUUUCUGAGACAGGGUUUCUUGAUAAACUCUUGGCUGUCCUGGAACUAACUCUGUAGACCAGGCUGGCCUUAAACUCAUAGAGAUCCACCUGCCUCUGCCUCCCAAGGGCUGGGGUCUAAGGUGUGCGCCACCAUUGUCCAGCCUCUGUCGAGUUUUAAUCAAUGAGUUGUUUCUCAUGAAGGCAUGGACCAUUUCUCAAUAUAUCUUGAGUCUCACUCUCUACAUUUGCACUUAAUCUUUCCAUCGAUCUAAGUCACUCAUACGGUGCCUUCUGUUCCAGUAACUGAUGACUGAGUUCUUUUGUUUGCUUGCUUGUUUGAUUGACAAAGUCUCAGGGCAUAGCAUAGGCUGGCCUUGACCUUAUCAUGUGGCCUGGACUGACCUAGAUUAGUUGUAAUCCUCCUGCCUCAGCCUCUGAGUGCUAAGAUUAUAGACAGGAGCAAUUGCGGACAGUUUUCUCUGUAAUUGUCCCUGUUGAGUUUGUGUUAUACGUCAUCACCCAGGCCAUCUCCCCUCAGCCCCAUAUUAUCUGUUCCGCUCCUGAGGAUUUAAAUGCGUAUGGGAACAGUGUGGAUGUGAGACACUUAAGAGUCUGUCCCCACAGUUGCACAAUGGGUGAGGACUGUUUGUUACCAGCAGAUUUCCUUUCUUCCCACAAAUGACCGGGUGCUGACUUCUCUGCAGUCAGCUCGGCUAUGGGAACGCUGCUGCUUCUUGUCAGUUCAGACCAAUUAAGUGAGGUGUGAUGCUGCUGCCAGGGGGCUACAAAAUAAACACAAGAGGACCUGUGAGGGGAUGGGGCUUAUAAUGUAGACAUGAAGAAGGGUGGAGGAUUAUAAGCAAGACCCAUGAAAUGUGGGGAGCAGAGGAAGUCCUCUCACGAGUCCUCAGAGAGUUAGAAGGAAAUGAAGUCCUGAGUGAAUGAGUAUUAGUGACAGGGACACAGGAAUGUCACGGAUCCUAGAACCUUAGACCCAUGGAGAAAAUGGCAGAAUCUCCCAGGGAGUGAGGCUCAGAGGGCAAAUGGCAAAAGCCUUCCUUUUGGUCCAUGUGUGGAUGUUGAUAGUGAGUACAGAAAAUAUCCACUAUAGCUUUCUCCCCAGCCGGAUAUUUAGGGCCUGAACACUGCUCCUCCCAAGAUCAGCUAAACCUGCCUCCUCGAUCCAGCUGUAUACUAUAAAUAAAUCCAGCUUCUCCCUAUGUACUAAUCCAACAUCUUUGUCGAGUUGUAUACAAUAUAGAGUUGUAUGCAAUAACCCCACCUCCAUGGUCAACUCUAUGUAAUAAACAUGCUGUACUCUUGGGGUGCUGUGGUUUCUCUAUCAGAGAGUGCAGACCAUCCAACCCCAGUUUCCUGUCCGUUUACCUGCUUGUCAUUCUCUAUUCUCUCUGCUCCAGUCAAGUCCAAGUCCCUGGAGCUGUGAGUGGACAUGGCAAUGGGGAUGAGAAGUUAGGGUCAUAUUCUAUCCAAGAAGGUAGGGGAGUUACAGUGGACAUCUGUGACAGGUGAGAUUUGUACAGGAGAGUCACGAAGAGUGGGAUUUAUAAGAGACAUCUGUGAAGGUGGUUUUAAGGGAGAGUCACAACGGGGAGGUUCUAAGGGAAAGAGCCAUGAUAUGUGAGGAGGUCUAUAAGGGAGAGGCAUUACAAGUGGGGGUUAUAAAGGAGAUCCAUGAAGGGCCAGAGAGUUAUAAGGGAGAAAACUAUGAGAAGAAAGUCCUUUAUGGGAGAGGGAGGGAGAGGGAGAGGGAGAGGGGGAAGG